UGCAAGUCGUACGCUUCUUUUUCCACCGGAGCUUGCUCCACCGGAAAAAGAAGAGUGGCGAACGGGUGAGUAACACGUGGGUAACCUGCCCAUCAGAAGGGGAUAACACUUGGAAACAGGUGCUAAUACCGUAUAACAAUCGAAACCGCAUGGUUUUGAUUUGAAAGGCGCUUUCGGGUGUCGCUGAUGGAUGGACCCGCGGUGCAUUAGCUAGUUGGUGAGGUAACGGCUCACCAAGGCCACGAUGCAUAGCCGACCUGAGAGGGUGAUCGGCCACAUUGGGACUGAGACACGGCCCAAACUCCUACGGGAGGCAGCAGUAGGGAAUCUUCGGCAAUGGACGAAAGUCUGACCGAGCAACGCCGCGUGAGUGAAGAAGGUUUUCGGAUCGUAAAACUCUGUUGUUAGAGAAGAACAAGGAUGAGAGUAACUGUUCAUCCCUUGACGGUAUCUAACCAGAAAGCCACGGCUAACUACGUGCCAG
rnacentral:rRNA from 1 species